UGGAACCAAAGAUAGAACCAGAAUGUUUCAAUAUAGAAUAAAAAUAUGUAGGAGUAAUAUUAGAAUA
rnacentral:sRNA from 1 species